rnacentral:rRNA from 1 species
CGUAGUUGGAUCUAGGGUGCCGGGCGGUGGUCCGCCGCAAGGCGUGUACUGCCGCUCGGCCUCUUAUGACUGGUUUUCCGCCGGUGCUCUUAACCGGGUGUCGGUGGUGACUGGUAAUUUUACUUUGAAAAAAUUAGAGUGUUUAAAGCAGGCUAAUUGCCUGGAUAGCGAUGCAUGGAAUAAUAGAAUAGGACCUCGUUCUUAUUUUGUUGGUUUUCGAGAACGAGGUAAUGAUUAAGAGGGACAGACGGGGGCAUCCGUACUCUGCCGUUAGAGGUGAAAUUCUUGGAUCGGCGGAAGACGAACUAUUGCGAAAGCAUUUGCCAAGAAUGUUUUCUUUAAUCAAGAGCGAAAGUCAGAGGUUCGAAGACGAUCAGAUACCGUCCUAGUUCUGACCAUAAACGAUGCCAACUAGCGAUCCGUCGGCGUUACCAUGACGACUCGGCGGGGAGCUCCCGGGAAACCAAAGUCUUUGGGUUCCGGGGGAAGUAUGGUUGCAAAGCUGAAACUUAAAGGAAUUGACGGAAGGGCACCACCAGGAGUGGAGCCUGCGGCUUAAUUUGACUCAACACGGGGAAACUCACCCGGCCCGGACACAGGUAGGAUUGACAGAUUGAGAGCUCUUUCUUGAUUCUGUGGGUGGUGGUGCAUGGCCGUUCUUAGUUGGUGGAGCGAUUUGUCUGGUUAAUUCCGAUAACGAACGAGACUUUAUUCUGCUAAAUAGUUACGCAACCUUUUCGGUUAGCGUCAAUUAACUUCUUAGAGAGACUAGUGGCGUUUAGCCACACGAGAUUGAGCAAUAACAGGUCUGUGAUGCCCUUAGAUGUCCGGGGCUGCACGCGCGCUACAAUGAAUAACUCAGCGUGUGUUAUACCUUGGCCGAAAGGUCUGGGAAAUCCCCUUAAAUUUAUUCGUGAUUGGGAUAGAGAUCUGGAAUCUUCUCUUAAACGAGGAAUUCCCAG